CCCAGCGGUAGUCAGCUACCCGUCGCUGUGCGGUGCCUGCGAUAGUGUUAUGCUGCUGGGAGAGGAAAGGCGCUGCCAAGUGGCUCCCGGCGCCGCCGGUGCCGUCCUGGCCUUCGGCGGCGGCGGGGUUUGGCAGCGCUCUGCGGCCCUGAGAGUGGAGUAACCCCUGCCCCGUGGGGUUAGUCCUAGAUGGAGCGCAGACAGA
rnacentral:snoRNA from 1 species